GGAUGCGAUCAUACCAGCACUAAAGCACCGGAUCCCAUCAAAACUCCGAAGUUAAGCUUGCUUGGGCGAGAGUAGUACUAGGAUGGGUGACCUCCUGGGAAGUCCUCGUGUUGCACUCC
rnacentral:rRNA from 1 species